AAGUUUUAGAGAAGAUGCGUUCCCUAGAUCAAAAGCUGAAAUAUCAGAUUGAUAAAUUAGUGCGGACCGCAGUAACCGGCAGCCUUGCUGAGAAUGACCCGCUAUGCUUUCGCCCUAACCCUCAGAAUCUGGUCAGCAAGCUGAGUGAAUCUGAGAACUCAGAUGAGGACGACGGAGGAAACUCAAAGGGGCGAGAAGAUCCCUCAGCCAG